UAGAUAUUUUGUUCCUGGUUUAGCACAGGUCACCUACUCUACAGAAUCAGAGUAUAAAGAAACAGGCUGAUCUGCUCAGGCUCAGUUCCGGUUCUGAAUCUGAGAUGGUUGUGAAUCUGUAACUACGGGAGAAACCCACUUGUGGGUUUUGAAGGACUGACACAUUCCAGAGCCAGAGGCUGGAUUUGGGAUGAUCUCUGGGGCUCCAACAGUUCAAGUUCAUUAUUUCCCGCGAUGGAAUCUGGCCAGCAGGAAGCAGCAUUGGAAGAAGCAGAACAAUCCAGGAGGGGCCAUCAGAGCAGGCCGGGUUACGUAUCCUAGAAAGCUGGGAAACGUGCAAUGAUAUGAAACCCUUACUGGACCUAGUGAAGCGCACCCACCAUCCAUGAUUGCUGUCUGCUCUGCACCUCCUCUCAUCAUGGUGGAAGAAAUGUAAUGGAUGAAAUCGUCACCUCUCGAAAGGGCACAAGAAGUUGCUGUACUGAAUAAAGCAAUAAAAAAGAGGGAGUUACCUGUUCAGAGAGAUGAGUUGUCCAGCUGAUUCUCUUUGUGCAGAAUUGAUCAUUGUUGCUUAUUUAUCAAAUGUCAAGAAGAAAUCAGUGGAAUUGAUCAUUUCUAUUAAGAGGUAAGGAACGUACCUCCUCUCAGCACAGGGGCAGGAAUAACUGGAUCUUUUUCUAUUUUCAGGUGAAAUGAAGGUCUGACCAUUAAGGGGGCGGGGGAAGAUAAGAGGCUGCUGAAUUUAAUAAUAGUCAGACAGGUAACGAUAUCUGGCCAGGGGGAAGAAAAGCAUCUUUUCUUCUAGUUGAGAAAGAGGAAAGCAGCCAAUUAUAUGCUUCAAGUUGUAACCAGUGUAGCUGGCUGUACCUCGAAGAAUCAAAGCUUUUUGGUGAAAUAUCAUUGACAAGUAGGUGAGCACGAAAAAGUCUGUAGAAGCCUCAUGAUCUGGAUGGUAAGGAACCAUUUCUAUUGAUGACUCUUCAUAACUAGUAAUGAGUAAUAAUAAUAAAUAAUCGUCAGGUUUUGCUAAUUGGAGAUUUGAACAGACCAGGUGGCCAUUCCUACCAGGGAGAAGUGAGGGUAAGUGGCUGUCCCGGGCAAGGAGGUAAGCAAUACCAGUCUCCAAACAUCCAUGUGUAUAUCAAGUGGUGUGGAGUUUUCUUUCAGGGAGAAGAACUGUGGUGGACCUUACAUGUCACGGGGAGAGUGUGAAAAGCAGAGUCAAGACAAAGCAACAUGGACUUGCCAGCUGCUCAAUCCAUGGAGGACUCCAAUGAGAAGAUGCUGUUAUUUCAAGGAACAACAAACAGAAAACAAACAGUCACUUCAAAUAGUUCAGCUAGUUGCAAAUCUGAACAUGAAGGAAGUCAGCAGAACACAGACAUGGAGAUGAGAGAAAUGCAGCUGAUUUGAACUUUGAGGGUGUGAAAACUUCAGGAAGUUGCGAGAAGAUCUGAGAUAUCUACAGGAAGGAAACCAGUGAAACUCAUCACUGCUGCCAAGAGGUAAGGAACUCACCUCAUAAUGGAGAAAUUAAUGGAUCUGGUUUCCCUUCAGGUGAAAGAAAUGCAGCUGAUCUGAUCUCCGAGGGGUUGAAGACUGUAAGCAGUCAUGUUACUGAAGAAUACAGGAACACAUGUUCCCAGACCUGCAGAGAGGGGAAAAAGUUGCCUUCCUUGACUAGAAUGGGAAGACAAUCCCUUAACACCGUCAAGUUACAAACCCACAAUGCAGGAGACCGUCACUGACAGAGGAGAAGAGUUACAGACACUCAGGAUUUGAGCACAAAGGAAUAGGAAUGGAGCUGAACAGAUCCAACACCUGAAAGGACAAUUAGAUCUCAUAAGAUAUGAGACCAUGAAAAAGACCCUUCAUUCAAUAAAGCAACAGAAUUGGCUCUGAGGAGAGGUGGAAGAAAUGUAAUGGAUGAAAUCGUCACCUCUCGAAAGGGCACAAGAAGUUGCUGUACUGAAUAAAGCAAUAAAAAAGAGGGAGUUACCUGUUCAGAGGUAAGGAAAGUCGGUAAUUCUAACCGAUGAUCAUGACAUCUGCUCCUUUCCCCUUCCCGGCUAAUGGUUGGUUGUUCCGACAAGGAUGUAUCCCAGAAAAAUUGCAACUAACCAGAGUGUGAAAAUGAGCAUUUAAGCUGCUCUUACAUUUGCAGAGAUGAGUUGUCCAGCUGAUUCUCUUUGUGCAGAAUUGAUCAUUGUUGCUUAUUUAUCAAAUGUCAAGAAGAAAUCAGUGGAAUUGAUCAUUUCUAUCAAGAGGUAAGGAAUACACCUCCUCUCAGCACAGGGGCAGGAAUAACUGGCUCUAUUUCUAUUUUCAGGUGAAAUGAAGGUCUGACCAUUAAGGGGGGCGGGGGAAGAUAAGAGGCUGCUGAAUUUAAUAAUAGUCAGACAGGUAACGAUAUCUGGCCAGGGGGAAGAAAAGCAUCUUUUCUUCUAGUUGAGAAAGAGGAAAGCAGCCAAUUAUAUGCUUCAAGUUGUAACCAGUGUAGCUGGCUGUACCUCGAAGAAUCAAAGCUUUUUGGUGAAACAUCAUUGACAAGUAGGUGAGCACGGAAAAGUCUGUAGAAGCCUAAUGAUCUGGAUGGUAAGGAACCAUUUCUAUUGAUGACUCUUCAUAACUAGUAAUGAGUAAUAAUAAUAAAUAAUUGUCAGGUUUUGCUAAUUGGAGAUGGGAACAGACCAGAUGGCCAUUCCUACUAGGGAGAAGUGAGGGUAAGUGGCUGUCCCGGGCAAGGAGGUAAGCAAUACCAGUCUCCAAACAUCCAUGUGUAUAUCAAGUGGUGUGGAGUUUUCUUUCAGGGAGAAGAACUGUGGUGGACCUUACUUGUCAUGGGGAGAGUGUGAAAAACAGAGUCAAGACAAAGGAACAUGGACUUGCCAGCUGCUCAAUCCAUGGAGGACUCCAAUGAGAAGACGCUGUUAUUUCGAGGAACAACAAACAGAAAACAAACAGUCACUUCAAAUAGUUCAGCUAGUUGCAAAUCUGAACAUGAAGGAAGUCAGCAAAACACAGACAUGGAGAUGAGAGAAAUGCAGCUGAUUUGAACUUUGAAAACUUCAGGAAGUUGCGAGAAGAUCUGAGAUAUCUGCAGGAAGGAAACCAGUGAAACUCAUCACUGUUGCCAAGAGGUAAGGACCUCACCUCAUAAUGUAGAAAUUAAUGGAUCUGGUUUCCCUUCAGGUGAAAGAAAUGCAGCUGAUCUGAUCUCCCAGGGGUUGAGGACUAUAAGCAGUCAUGAUACUGAAGAAUACAGGAACACAUGUUCCCAGACCGGCCUAGAGCGAAAAAAGUUGCCUUCCUUGACUAGAAUGGGAAGACAAUCCCUUAUCACCAUCAAGUUACAAACCCACAAUGCAGGAGACCGUCACUGACAGAGGAGAAGAGUUACAGACACUCAGGAUUUGAGCACAAAGGAAUAGGAAUGGAGCUGAACAGAUCCAACACCUGAAAGGACAGUGGAUCUCAUAAGAUAUGAAACCAUGAAAAAGACCCUUCAUUCAAUAAAGCAACAGAAUUGGCUCUGAAGAGAGGUAAGAAGCAUUUGGUAAGUCUACCAAAUGGGCAUACAAUCAACUCUUCAAAAUUACUAACUUAUGUUGUGUCAAAGAGUUUGUUACAGCUGAUCACACAUCUCAGGAUCUAAGAAGAGCUCAGGGGCAUGGCAGACCUCAGGGGAUUCAUCUUUAUCAGGAGGUGAUGCACCUGCUUGUCAGUGGCUUUGGUUAGAUUUUCAGAUGAAGGAAACACAGCCAGUGUGGUCAGUAUUCAAGAAAUAAUGUUCAAGAGGUGCCUGGGGUCACCUCUUGGGCUAAGGGGAGUAGCUGGUCCUAUCUACCGGGAUGGAAGCAAAGAAGAAAGAACAGGCCACUGGUUAGUACUGGGACACAGACAAUCCCCUGGAGGGGCCUGGGACAGGGUGUGUAACCACAGUGCCCAGUGGGUCCUUUCCCCACUGUGGUCCUGGCUCGCAUGCACAGGGUGAAACUGAUCGCCAUGUUUGGGGUCAGGAAGGAAUUUUCCUCCAGGGCAGAUUGGCCAGAGACCCUGGAGGUUUUUCGCCUUCCUCUGGGGGCAUCGAGCAGGGACCAGCCCUUUGGGCCAUUUAGAAACUGACAAUAAAAUCCAUUA